rnacentral:rRNA from 1 species
GAUGAACGCUAGCUACAGGCUUAACACAUGCAAGUCGAGGGGUAACGAGAGGAAAGCUUGCUUUCCUUGUCGACGACCGGCGCACGGGUGAGUAACGCGUAUCCAACCUGCCUCCAACUAGGGAAUAACCUUGCGAAAGUAAGACUAAUACCCUAUAAUUUCCUCAGAUGACAUCUGACGAGGAAUAAAGAUUUAUCGGUUGUGGAUGGGGAUGCGUCUGAUUAGCUUGUUGGCGGGGUAACGGCCCACCAAGGCAACGAUCAGUAGGGGUUCUGAGAGGAAGGGCCCCCGCAUUGGAACUGAGACACGGUCCAAAAUCCUAGGGGAGGCAGCAGUGAGGAAUAUUGGUCAAUGGGAGGAAGCCUGAACCAGCCAAGUAGCGUGCAGGAUGGCGGACCUAUGGGUUGUAAACUGCUUUUAUACAGGAAUAAAGUUAGCCACGUGUGGUUAUUUGUAGGUACUGUAUGAAUAAGGACCGGCUAAUUCCGUGCCAGCAGCCGCCGUAA